GACGAACGCUGGCGGCGUGGAUUAGGCAUGCAAGUCGAACGGUAUCAUCCUUUCGGGGGUGAGAGAGUGGCGAACUGGUGAGUAACACGUAGGUUAUCUACCCUCAAGACGGGGACAACCCAGGGAAACUUGGGCUAAUACCGGAUGUGAGCAACUUUUAGUUGUUUGAAAGGUGGCGUAAGCUGUCGCUUGGGGAUGAGCCUGCGUCCUAUUAGUUAGUUGGUGAGGUAACGGCUCACCUAGGCAAUGAUAGGUAGGCGGCCUUAACGGGUGGUCGCCCACACUGGGAUUGAGAUACGGCCCAGACUCCUGCGGGAGGCAGCAGUCGAGAAUAGUCUACAAUGGUCGGAAGACUGAUAGUGCGACGCCGCGUGAACGAUGAAUCCCUUCGGGUGUAAAGUUCUUUUAUAUGUGAGCAGUGCUUCUUAUAUUAAACAGUAUGGGGAGAGAGAUAUUAGCAUAUGAAUAAGCAACGGCUAACUCCGUGCCAGCAGCCGCGGUAAACUCG
rnacentral:rRNA from 1 species